UUUCCGUAGGUGAACCUGCGGAAGGAUCAUUAAAAAAUUGGACUCCAUUGGUGAGUUCAUUAAUAAUCCCUACCCUUUGUGAAUUUGUUUGUUUGAAUAAUUUUUUUUCCAAAAAAAAUUAUUGAAUGUCUUUCCUUGUUUUGGUGGAGCUUGUAAAGUGAAACCAGGCAGGGGAAUGGCAAACAAUAAUUAUUUUUGAAAAAGACCUUUUUUUAAAAUUAAACUUUUUGUAUUCAUUUGUCUAAAAUUAAUUUUUAUAAUAUAAAAACAACUUUUGACAAUGGAUCUCUUGGUUCUCGCAACGAUGAAGAACGCAGCAAAAUGCGAUAAGUAGUGUGAACUGCAGAAUACGUGAAUCAUCGAAUCUUCGAACGCAUAUUGCACUUUUUUAGUUUACUAAAAAAGUAUGUCUGUUUGAGUAUCAGUAAAAUAUUCUCAUAAAAAACAUUGUUUUUUUUAUGGUUAUGAGUGUUUUACAACGAUAACGAGUUGUUUCACUUUAAAUUCUUUGUUAUCAAAAAAAUCAUUAAAAGCUAAUUUUAAAGAUUUUUUAAAAUUGGAUAAAAUUUUCCCGUAAAAAGGAAUAACCUAAACAAUUUUAAAAAUUAAAUUGGUUUGAUUUUUUUUGAAACCCAAAGGAAAAAAAAACGAAAUUAACUUGAUCUCAAAUCAGAUAAGAGUACCCGCUGAACUUAAGCGUAUCAAUAAGCGGAGGAAAAGAAACUAACUAGGAUUCCCUCAGUAACGGCGAGUGAAGCGGGAAGAGCUCAAAUUUGAAAUCUUCAAGGUUUUACCUUGACGAAUUGUAGUUUAAAGAAGUGUUUUCUGUUGGAGUUUUGGUAAAAGUUCUUUGGAAAAGGACAUCAUAGAGGGUGAGAAUCCCGUAUUUGACCAUUAUCUCCAGCUUUGUGAUACACUUUCAAAGAGUCGGAUUGUUUGGGAAUGCAGUCCAAAAUGGGUGGUAAAUUUCAUCUAAAGCUAAAUACUGGCGAGAGACCGAUAGCGAACAAGUACCGUGAGGGAAAGAUGAAAAGAACUUUGAAAAGAGAGUUAAACAGUACGUGAAAUUGUCAAAAGGGAAGCGUUUGACACCAGUGUUGUUUUCUCGAAAAUCAAUUAAAAAAGGCCGGAUUUUGUGUUGUAUUGACUUUAUCAGCUUUCUGCACUCUUUUCUUGUCUUUUUUAAUGCACUUUUCGUUUAACAAGUCAACAUCAAUUUCUUUUGUUGUAAAAGGGUCAUUGGAAGGUGGCUUUCUUUUCGGAGAAAGUGUUUAUAGCCUUUGGCCUCUGCAAUCGGAGAGAUUGAGGUCUGCAGCGUAGAUCCUUCGGGGUUAGAUACAUUUGUGCUAAGUUAUAGCCUUUCAUAGACAACUUGUUGACUAUGAUCAGUCAUGUAGCUUACUCGCUUAUGCUAUUUUACCUACGCUUAGGAUGUUG
rnacentral:misc_RNA from 1 species